rnacentral:lncRNA from 1 species
GCAGGAGCCAGUUUGCGAUCAUUACUGGCUGAAUCCAAGGCUUGACGUAACAGAAUGCUGAGACCGAAGUGAGAAGAYACAACRGAUUUCCUAGUUACAGCAUCAGCGGCCGCUCUGGGAAGAGUGGAGAGUGCAAUGGCAGUUUGCCAGUUAACUUACAGCAGCGCGUCCCCUGAACGAUAACGAAGAGGUAACGUUAGGGGAGAAGCCUGACCACGGAGACGGGGGUGAAGAGGUAACGUCAGGGGAGAAGCCUGACCACGGCGACGGGGGUGCAGGGUAGUUAGGGAGAAGCCUGACCACGGAGGAGACGGGGGUGAAGAGGGUAACGUUAG